UUGCAUUCCUAGAUGCUCUUGGCAGUUUCCCUCCAAGGUGCUUCCGGGCUGAGUGAAUGUUUGAGAACUGGCAGCGGAGUCCAAAGGGCUGCACGUCUCCUGUGGUCCCGUCUCUUUCAUACCUGUAGCGUAU
ensembl:snoRNA